rnacentral:piRNA from 1 species
UACAAUGAUACAGAUAAUCAUGUAUUAGUUC